rnacentral:rRNA from 1 species
UAGGGAAUCUUCCGCAAUGGACGCAAGUCUGACGGAGCAACGCCGCGUGAGUGAAGAAGGAUUUCGGUUCGUAAAACUCUGUUGUUAGAGAAGAACAGCGCAUAGAGUAACUGUUAUGCGUGUGACGGUAUCUAACCAGAAAGCCACGGCUAACUACGUGCCAGCAGCCGCGGUAAUACGUAGGUGGCAAGCGUUGUCCGGAUUUAUUGGGCGUAAAGCGAGCGCAGGCGGUCAAUUAAGUCUGAUGUGAAAGCCCCCGGCUCAACCGGGGAGGGUCAUUGGAAACUGGUUGACUUGAGUGCAGAAGAGGAGAGUGGAAUUCCAUGUGUAGCGGUGAAAUGCGUAGAGAUAUGGAGGAACACCAGUGGCGAAGGCGACUCUCUGGUCUGUAACUGACGCUGAGGCUCGAAAGCGUGGGUAGCAAACAGG